UAGCUGACAAUGAAUAUAGUUAAAGGGACACUAUAGUCACCAGAACAACUACAGCUUAUUGUAUUUGUUCUGGUGAGUAGAAUCAUUACCGUCAGGCUUUUUACUGUAAACACUGCUUUUCAGAGAAAAUGCAGUGUUUACAUUACAUCCUAGUGAUAACUUCACUGGCCACUCCUUAGAUGACUGUUAGCGAUCCUUCCUGGGUCAUGGCUGCCUAAAAUGCAUCCAAACAUUCAGUGUCUCCUCCCUCUGCAUGCAGACACUGAACUUUCCUCA